rnacentral:rRNA from 1 species
UCCGUAGGUGAACCUGCGGAAGGAUCAUUAUUGAAUUGGGCCUGUUGGCCUUAUACAUAAUAACACUGUGAACCGGGGCUUCGGCCCAAACUUGAAGUGUAGAAUGUGAAUUAUAAUAACAAAAUACAACUUUUAACAACGGAUCUCUUGGCUCUCGCAUCGAUGAAGAACGCAGCGAAAUGCGAUAAGUAAUGUGAAUUGCAGAAUUCAGUGAAUCAUCGAAUCUUUGAACGCACCUUGCGCCCUCUGGUACUCCGGAGGGCAUGCCUGUUUGAGUGUCAUGAACACCUCACCCCCUCGGGUUUCCGAUCGGGUGGAUUUGGGCGUUGCCAGUCACAUGGCUCGCCUUAAAAGCAUUAGCGGUUGUUGACGUAAUAAGUUUCGUCUUGUCGACCGCUCCUAAUCUCCCUCUGGGAUGUCUUCUGGACACUUCAUGAUCUGACCUCAAAUCAGGUAGGACUACCCGCUGAACUUAAGCAUAUCAAUAAGCGGAGGA